rnacentral:rRNA from 1 species
AUUGAACGCUGGCGGCAUGCCUUACACAUGCAAGUCGAACGGCAGCACGGGAGCAAUCCUGGUGGCGAGUGGCGAACGGGUGAGUAAUAUAUCGGAACGUGCCCAGUCGUGGGGAUAACGUAGCGAAAGCUACGCUAAUACCGCAUACGAUCUAUGGAUGAAAGCGGGGGAUCGCAAGACCUCGCGCGAUUGGAGCGGCCGAUAUCAGAUUAGGUAGUUGGUGAGGUAAAGGCUCACCAAGCCGACGAUCUGUAGCUGGUCUGAGAGGACGACCAGCCACACUGGGACUGAGACACGGCCCAGACUCCUACGGGAGGCAGCAGUGGGGAAUUUUGGACAAUGGGCGCAAGCCUGGAUCCAGCAAUGCCGCGUGCAGGAUGAAGGCCUUCGGUUGUAACUGCUUUGUACGGAACGAACGGUAGAGCUCUAAUACAGUUUGCUAAUGACGGUACCGUAAGAAUAAG